CAGAUCAUAUAGAACACUGCAGAGACAUCUCUACCCUCCCACUCCCGAUGUCUUCCUGCUGCUCCACCACACACCCACUUCCACCAAGUUUUCAUGAUAAGAGUGUAAAAUAAUCGACUUCUUAGAUGCAGUCUCUGAAUCUGCUGUCACCCCCGGGGCCCCAAACAGUACUCUAAAUGUGGUCAAUUUCACUGGCUGUUGAAUUGGUUCCAGGCACAGCCCAAAAAGAUGAUAGGGUGAGCAGCCUAAGGGGCUGCAGCUUCCUCUCCAGCUGUUUAUCAGGCGAUGUGAUAAGGACUAUCCUUUUUGUGGCUCAAACACAUUCAUGUAUUCAUUCAUGUGUGUGUUCCUUCACAAACAUUGAGCACCUACUGCAUUCCAGGCACUCCGAUAGGCACUAAGUUUGAUAAACCAGAAAAUUAUCAAGAUACACUCAGAGAAUUGAAUGCCUUUUGCAGGGUAAGACCUCACAGACACUCUGGUUAAAUCCUUCAUUUGACCCAACAGCUUGCCAAAGUCCAGAGUGGGAGUGGGAUUUGCCUACAUUCAUACAGAAAAUCAUUGUUUUUGUGUUUUUAAAAAUGAGAUCCUACAUAAAUGGCCAAAAAGCACACAAAAAGAUGCUCAACAUCACUAAUCAUCAGAGAAUGCAAAUCCAAACCAUAAUGAGAUAUCACCUCACAGCCAUUAGAAUGGUUACUAUAUAAAAAAACCUAGAAAAUAAUAAGUGUUGGCAAGGAUGGGGAGAAACUGGAACUUUGUGCACUGUUGAUGGAAAUAUAAAAUGGUUCAGCUGCUGGGGAAAGCAGCAUGGCAGGUCUUCAAAAAUUAAACAUAGAAUUACCAUUGAUCUAGCAAUUCCACUUCUGAGUAUUACCCAAAAUAAUUGAAAACAAGGUUAAAGAAGAGAUAUUUGUACACGCAUGUUCACAGCAGCAUUACUCACAAUCAUUAAAAUGUGGAAGCAACCCAAGUGACAAUGACAGCUGACUGCAAAGACACAGUGUGGUAAAUACCUAUAGUGAAAGAUUAGCUUUGGAAAGGAAGGAAAUUCUGACACAUGCUACAACAUGAAUGAACCUUGGAGACAUUUAUGCUAAAAAAAAAAAAAAAA
rnacentral:lncRNA from 1 species